CUCUCAUGAAAUACCUGGCGGGUUGCUCUUUAGAAGUUUCUAGUUUGAAAAGAAUUGCCACUUCUUAUAAUACUGCUCUUUUAGUGUAACAGUUGGGACAAAGUACUUACCUGAUUUAUACUUAUCGGGUAAGUGUAAAUCUAUGUUCUUUUAACUUUAAUUUUUUUAUUAAAAUUAUACAAGGAAAUGACUUUGCAUCCCAAGGGAAUUAUUGAAUGUCCUGAUUCUCAGGUAUAUUUCAUUUUUUUUUUUAGUAAUUUUUAUGUGGGCUCUUUUCUACUCCCUUUUCUCCAGUGAAGAUUGUUUCAAAUAAACCUGUCUGAUAUAGAAAGACAUGGUUGCUAGGGAGCCAGCGUCAUGAUGGUUGAUAUUACCAGGGAGGAUACAGAGGUGAGUCCCUGAUUAUAGAAGAGAAGCAUUUUUCAUUCUCCUUGAAAGUGAGUCUUCUUUAUGUACAGGUGACAAGAUCACUAGCUCAGUAGGAAUAAGACUUCAAAAAGAAAUAUGAAAUUUUAAUAUGUUUCCUCAGAGUGAUGUAAGUCUAAAGUUAUUUCAUCAGGAUGAAUAGGGUUUAUGCCCACCUCUGUCUUAGACUAUGGUGGAAAUGCUUUUGGCAAAUGUUACAUAGUGCAAAUCUUUUGGCAAGCUCUCUAAGGCCUUGACCUUAGUCACGUGGGUGGCAUGAGGAACCUAAUAUUUCUUCUAUCUUCACAUUUGGUUAAGUACUGGCCAAUAAGAAUUUAGUCAGAUCUACAACACACUAGGCAUUUUACUAGGGACUUUUAAUACAUUGCUUCAUUUAAUCCUAUAAUCUUGAUGUAAGGUAUUGUCAUUUCAGUAAACACUAGGAAAUAUUCUUGUCAGUGGAAAAUGUGGGAUUUGAAUCCUGUUCAUUAUCCCUAUAUUCUUCCGUUUAAAAUGUCUCUGGCUGGAGUUCCCGUCGUGGCUCAGUGUUUAACGAAUCCGACUAGGAACCAUGAGGUUGCGUGUUCUAUCCCUGGCCUUGCUCAAUGGGUUAAGGAUCCGGCUUUGCCGUGAGCUGUGGUGUGGGUCACAGAUGCAGCUCAGAUCUGGUGUUGCUGUGGCUCUGGUGUAGGCCAGCAGUGACAUCUCUGAUUAGAUUCCUAGCCUGGGAGCCUCUAUAUGCUGCGGGAGCGGCCCAAGAAGUGGCAAAAAGACAAAAAUAAAUAAAUAAAUAAAAAUAAAAAAAUAAAAAUAUCUCUGGCUAAGGAAGAAUAAAUACAUAAAUGUAUUGAUUUCGUAUAUAUGUAUUGAUUUCAUAAAAAGCACCACCGGUACUUUCUCUAUUAGUUUUAUCAAUACUUUUGAAAAAUCUAUAUGUUUGAAAGUUGAAUAAAAGACUUUUAGGAGAUUAUUCUGGCUUUUGAAAAUGAGCAUAAACAUUGCUUAGUUUUACCAUUAGGUAAUUUAAAUGGUGCCUUAUUGUUUGGGCUCCCUGUAGGAUGUUAAUGCUUACAGUAUUGACUCAAGUGAAAAAAAAGAAUUUACUGAGUAGAUUCUUUGUAUGCAAUAUUGUGCUAGGAUAGGUAAGAUUGUCAUUAUGAAGCUUUCUGUAUAAUGCUAUGAGGAUAUUACAAGAUGGUAAAGGGAAAGCCUUUUUAGUAGCAACUUAAAUGUCCAUUCACAGAGGAAUGGAUAAAGAAGAUAUGGUACAUAAAUAUAAUGGAAUAUUACUCAGCCAUAAAAAAGAACAAAAUAAGCCAUUUGCAGCAACAUGGAUAGACCUAGACAUCAUCAUACUAGGUAAGUCAGACAGAGAAAAACAAAUAUUAUAUGAUAUGACUUAUAUGUUAAAUCUAAUAAAAAUGAAACAAAAUAACUUAUUUAUAAAAUGAAAACAAACUCACAGAUUUCAAAAUGAAACUUAUGGUUUCUACGGGGGGAACCAUGGGAGGAGGGAUAAAUUAGGAGCACGGGAAUAACAUACACACACUACUGAAUAAAAUAGAUAAUUGACAAGGACCUACUGUUUAGCACAGGGAGGUCUACUCAACAGUCUGCAGUAACCUAUAAGGAAAAAAGAAUGGAUGGAUGUAUACCUAUAACUGACACACUUUGCUGUACACCAGAAACUAAUACAAAAUUGUGAGUCAACUAUACCCUAAUAAAAAUUUUUUUAAAAAGAAAUCUUACAUGGUCCUUCAGUACUUGAGAUUGGCAAACAGUUAAUCCUAUCACCAGUAUGUAUCCCAUCAACUUUAGAUAUCAUCAGUCCCCAGCACCCUAGAACUCUUUUGUGGUAUCGUGAGACCAAAGCCAAAGAGUGUCUACAACUUCUUCUGAGAUUACUGAGUUUUCGUUGUCACUAGUAUCCAUUUAGAGGAUAUGCACAAGAGCCUAUGCGGUUGACUGAUACCCUUGAAGAAAAGGUUGUGUGUGUUUGGGUUCACAGGUGAACAAGGCAUGAACCAAGCCAAAGAAUGGAAUUGGCACCUGAUUAACCUGAGAAGCCACAUCUUGUAGCCCAGAAUAUCUUUUAGAAAGCAAAAGUAGAUUAAAAAAGAGAAAGAAAUGUUCUUGGAGAGCAAGCUGUGGGACCUGAGUGAGAUUUAUUGAGGCAAUUAUAGUGUCUGGGUCUUCAAAAGUGCUGGAAAAUUUUAUGAUCACCACCAGGCACUUGAAGCCUGGUCUGUAGAGAUAGAAGAGAAAGGUUAGUUAAUGCUUUUGAAUAUGGAUUUAUUGCUCAUAGGAAUCAGGAUGGAGAGUCUUUUCCAUAUAGUGCUUUUUCUUAGGCUAUAUCUUUUUUUUAAGAAGUUAACAAAAACAAAAAGAAAGAUCUCUUCCUCUGAAAUACCUGCUUGUUGAUUACUAUUAGGGUCAGGGCAUUUCAUUGGCUGUACUAGUGCAAUGCAACCCUACUUUAAUAGAGGUUGCUAAGAAACAUCGUGUUUUGGGAUUACUACCUUAAUGGUUAUCUAUGAAUUUAACACAACGAAUCUCUUAUCUUACAGAGGGCCAGGGAAAACCUUUAAAUGACUCCAAUUUUAGAGACUGUGGCGCUGUGCAUUAGACAUCGGCCUUUGCAGCUGACCUGAGCCUUGAACAAAGACUGAGAUAAGAGAUUUAUAUCAAAGAUGAGACUUGUUUCUCAGACCACUGGCUGCUCACAAAACCUGACAAUCAGAUAGAGCUGUAGGAGGUUUAUACAGAGGAAGAGGAGGGUGUAUUCUUCCAUACAAUUUGUGAUGUUUAUCUAGAAGCCAGCUUUCCAGGAAAAACCUUAUAAACAGUUGCAGUAAGAUGACAUAUCUAUGCAGGUUGCUAAGGAAAACAGCAAUGUUAAAAUCAUCUGUAAGACUGCAUUGUUCAUAAGCGAGCUAGUCAGUUUUAAAGGAUUUGAUUGAUCUAGUGAGUCAAAAUAGCCAAAGUAUUUGUGUAAACGACCAGUGUUGAUACAGCUAGGGAUUAUAUGUAUGGGCACAGGUCACAAAGCAUUCAGAAAUUAGUAGGAAACCUUGGACAUGAUCUAAUGUUGAUCUCCCUAUAAUAUAGAAAAGGAUACAGUCAAUUUAUUCCUAAGAUAUCUAUUGAGUCCUUAUUUUAUAUCAGGCAUUGCAGAUGUGACUCCAGAUUUGAUAUGGGGAAAAACAAUCUUACUAUUAAAAAGAAGACUUUAUUGACUAAAUCCAACAAUGCUAUUGAGACAGAGUAUGUGCAAUACAACAUAGGCUCAUUUGACCUUGGUUGCCAUGUCAGCCAUCACAGCCUAUUCCAGAAGAUACUGGGUCCAAAGACCCAAGAGACCGGCAUAUUUUUCAGUUACUGUUGUAAGAAAUUUAAAAAACUGUUUCAUAAACAUUUGAAAAUCAUCUCUGUUAUUCAGACAGGCACAAAGGAUUGCUGCUCCAUUUUUCUUUUUUUCCCCUCUUUUAACAGGCAGUGGCGACAAUUGAUUCAGCACUACUUUACUGAAUAAGGAAAGGUCUAUUUGCCUUGCAUGAUAUUAAAUUAAAUCUGACUGAGAGAGAAACAACUUAAAUUUUAAUGCUUCACAUUCAGGAGUGCAUCCGUGCUAAUAUUUAAAGAACACAAUACAUCUAUCUCUCAGCCGCAGAUUCCAUGUUUGGCCUUCUUUGGUCUUAGGUUUUUGUUGAAAGAUCUAAAUUUAUUUAAUCCUCCUCUUUUCUAGAAAGGUGAGAAUAUUGCUCUAAACCUUGUUCAACUAAAAAAAAAAAGUGCAAAUCUUACUUCAGAUUCAUCCUCUGGGUUAUUUAUUUUACCAGGUUAGAUCAAGGUUUAGUCACAAAGACAAAUAAAGUGAUAUUAACUGGUAAUAUUCUUUUAGCGUAUCUGAUGGAAGUGUAGAAUGACCACAUCAUCAAAUGUGUACCUAUAAAAAAUUUGUUUCACUCAUUUCUCACUGAUUUAAAUUACUUCAUUCCCCAAAUCACUGAAGAUGAAGCAGUCCUUCUAGGGUUUCUGUAUAAAUAUAGGGAGUUCUUUUUCACUUUUCAUAUAUCAGGUGAACCAGUGAAGUGUAAAUACAUUUUCCUUUUCACUUUUUUCCCUCCUUUAUAUUGGUAUAUAUUGUUCCUGAACUGAACAUGUUUUUCCUUCUGUGUUCUAUAUACAUACAUGGAUAUACUCUUUCCACACACACAUGUACACAUAUUUGGCCUCAAGAGAAAAGAUGAUGUAAGAAAAAAAUUCAAGACCCUAACCCUAUCCUUUCCAUGAACUUGGAUAAGUUUCUAAACCUCAAAGAAGUUUAGUUUAUUUGCAAAAUGGAUCAUAUUUACCAUUUUUGGGCUUUAUAAAGAUUAAAUGAAUAUGCAAAACAAAUAGAUCCUGAAAAUUAUGGGCAAUAAAAAAUAUCUGCUCUUUCCUUCUUACAGCUAAUUGUUGAAUACAUUAGCAAGGCAUAGCAAGCCCUUCUUUACUUUUUACCCACUAAGAUCCAGGAGAAAUGACAAGGGUAUAUUUUACUUUUCAUGGUGUAAAAAUUGCCAAUCAGAAAAAAUAGGAUUUAGUACUAGGAGGUAAUCACGGUACUGUUUCAUGUGUUUUCUUAGAAGUAACUGAAAUAUACUCAUCUGAAAUUUUAUUAACCACAGAAAGUAUUCUGUAGUUUGACAGAUUAUUUCAGUGAAUGAAGUUGUUUUGAAAUUUUGUGUGUUUUGGAAAAGCUUGUACACAGCACAAACUUUUUUUCUUUCACCAUGCAAAUAUUCAGCUCAUAAUUAUGCCAGAAGGACUUCUUGAUGAGUUUUAAUACAAUACCACUCCCAGGUUUAGCAGUUCACAACUAAUCAUUAAAAGAUUGUGUUAACAUUUUAGGCAUUUGUGGUAAAUAGUGCCCUUCUCUACACACAUAUGCUGCCUUUCAUGUUGAGAGAAAGAGUCUAAUUUCCAUCUCCUUGAGUCUGGGCUGGCCUUAGGGACUCCUGUAACCAAUAAGAUAAGCCAAGAGUGGUGUUCUGUAGCUUUUGAGCCUAGGUUAUAAGGAAGUUUCAUGUCUUUGUUGAACUUUUGGAAUGUUUCCUAACAGAAUCAAUCUGCUUUGCAGUGAGAAAUCCAAGACACAUAGAGAAGACCUAUAGAUGCUCCAGUUGACAACUAAGCUUAGCCCCAGUUGUUACCCAUUCUCAAUAACCCACCAUGAGAAUGUGCCAUCUUGGAUGUCCAGCCUAACCAAGUCUUCACAUGGCCCUAGUCCCGGUGGCCAUGGUAGUGCAACCACAUAAGGAACCCCGAGUUAGAACCAAGAAACCUAUAGAACUGUUUAUUAUUAAAUGGGUAGCUUAUUAUGUAACAAAAAUAUAGAUAUUCAGAACAGCAUUAUAAGCACAAACCAUAGUACUCAAACAAAUGUAGUCACAUGAAGAUGGAGUAUCUGUUAUAGCAAACCUCAAAAUAUUAAGCCAUUUUUAUCCUUAAUAAAGCCCAUAUCCUGUUUUUGAUUUUAGUGUAAUCAGUCUUCAGAAAAUACGGUGAUUAUAUGGUGUUAGAUCUGAGGGGGAGAAUUGAAGUAUAGCAUUUUGGAGUUCUGAGUCUCAUACGCAUCCAUCCAUUCAUUUAAAUAUUGAUUAUGCAAAGCAAUAUGCCAGGUGCUGUGGGG
rnacentral:lncRNA from 1 species